ACUGCAACCGGAAUUCUUCGGAAGGAAAGAUGCAGUGACUUAUGUGGCGGACGGGUGAGUAACGCGUGGGCAACCUGCCUUACACAGGGGGACAACAGCUGGAAACGGCUGCUAAUACCGCAUAUGCGCACAGGGCCGCAUGGUCUGGUGCGGAAAACUCCGGUGGUGUAAGAUGGGCCCGCGUCUGAUUAGGUAGUUGGCGGGGUAACGGCCCACCAAGCCGACGAUCAGUAGCCGGCCUGAGAGGGUGGACGGCCACAUUGGGACUGAGACACGGCCCAAACUCCUACGGGAGGCAGCAGUGGGGGAUAUUGCACAAUGGGCGCAAGCCUGAUGCAGCGACGCCGCGUGAGCGAAGAAGUAUUUCGGUAUGUAAAGCUCUAUCAGCAGGGAAGAAAAUGACGGUACCUGACUAAGAAGCUCCGGCUAAAUACGUGCCAGCAGCCGCGGUAAUACGUAUGGAGCAAGCGUUAUCCGGAUUUACUGGGUGUAAAGGGAGCGUAGGCGGCUCUGUAAGUCUGAUGUGAAAAUUUGGGGCUCAACCCCAAACGUGCAUUGGAAACUGCAGGGCUUGAGUGCCGGAGAGGCAGGCGGAAUUCCUAGUGUAGCGGUGAAAUGCGUAGAUAUUAGGAGGAACACCAGUGGCGAAGGCGGCCUGCUGGACGGUAACUGACGCUGAGGCUCGAAAGCGUGGGGAGCAAACAGGAUUAAAUACCCUGGUAGUCC
rnacentral:rRNA from 1 species